UACGGAGGGUGCAAGCGUUAGUCGGAUUUACUGGGCGUAAAGGGCGCGUAGGCGGCCAGCACAAGUCAGUUGUGAAAUCUCCGAGCUUAACUCGGAAAGGUCAACUGAUACUGUGCGGCUAGAGUGCGGAAGGGGCAACUGGAAUUCUUGGUGUAGCGGUGAAAUGCGUAGAUAUCAAGAGGAACACCUGCGGCGAAGGCGGGUUGCUGGGCCGACACUGACGCUGAGGCGCGAAAGCCAGGGGAGCGAACGGG
rnacentral:rRNA from 1 species